AUUGAACGCUGGCGGCAGGCCUAACACAUGCAAGUCGAGCGAGCGGCGGACGGGUGAGUAAUGCCUGGGCAUUUCCCCGUCGAGGGGGAUAACAGUUGGAAACGACUGCUAAUUCCUCAUACGAUUUUAUUUCCCAGGUGGGAUUAGCUAGUUGGUGAGGUAAUGGCUCACCCAGGCGACGAUCCCUAGCUGGUCUGAGAGGAUGAUGAGCCACACUGGAACUGAGACACGGUCCAGAAUCCGACGGGAGGCAGCAGUGGGGAAUAUUGCACAAUGGGGGAAAGCCUGAUGCAGCAAUGCCGCGUGUGUGAAGAAGGCCUUCGGGUUGUAAAGCACUUUCAGCGAGGAGGCGUUACUCGCAGAAGAAGCACCGGCUAACUCAGUGCCAGCAGCCGCGGUAAUAC
rnacentral:rRNA from 1 species